UACAGAGGGUGCAAGCGUUAAUCGGAAUUACUGGGCGUAAAGCGCGCGUAGGCGGCUGCUUAAGUCGGAUGUGAAUGCCCCGGGCUCAACCUGGGGACUGCAUUCGAUACUGGGCGGCUAGAGUAUGAGAGAGGGAGGUAGAAUUCCACGUGUAGCGGUGAAAUGCGUAGAUAUGUGGAGGAAUACCGGUGGCGAAGGCGGCCUCCUGGCUCAAUACUGACGCUGAGGUGCGAAAGCGUGGGGAGCAAACAGG
rnacentral:rRNA from 1 species